GGAGAGAUGCCGGAGUGGUCGAUCGGGCACGCUUGGAAAGCGUGUGUACGCGUAAGUGUACCCAGGGUUCGAAUCCCUGUCUCUCCGCCA
rnacentral:tRNA from 1 species